rnacentral:rRNA from 1 species
UACGUAGGGUGCGAGCGUUGUCCGGAAUUACUGGGCGUAAAGAGCUCGUAGGUGGUUUGUCGCGUUCGUUCGUGAAAACUCACGGCUUAACUGUGAGCGUGCGGGCGAUACGGGCAGACUGGAGUACUGCAGGGGAGACUGGAAUUCCUGGUGUAGCGGUGGAAUGCGCAGAUAUCAGGAGAACACCGGUGGCGAAGGCGGGUCUCUGGGCAGUAACUGACGCUGAGGAGCGAAAGCGUGGGGAGCGAACAGG